AUCCUUUUGUAGUUCGUAAGUGUGAUGAUUGGGUGUUCCCUCUGUUGUGUGACAUGUGCCCCCCUCAAACCUCGUUACAACCUCAGCAAUUACCCAUCUGAUG
ensembl:snoRNA